UACAGAGGUCUCAAGCGUUGUUCGGAUUCAUUGGGCGUAAAGGGUGCGUAGGCGGCGCGGUAAGUCGGGUGUGAAAUCUCGGGGCUUAACUCCGAAACUGCAUUCGAUACUGCCGUGCUUGAGGACUGGAGAGGAGACUGGAAUUUACGGUGUAGCGGUGAAAUGCGUAGAUAUCAGGAGGAACACCGGUGGCGAAGGCGGAUCUCUGGGCCUUACCUGACGCUCAGGCACGAAAGCUAGGGGAGCGAACAGG
rnacentral:rRNA from 1 species